rnacentral:rRNA from 1 species
CUUGGUCAUUUAGAGGAAGUAAAAGUCGUAACAAGGUCUCCGUUGGUGAACCAGCGGAGGGAUCAUUACCGAGUUUACAACUCCCAAACCCCUGUGAACAUACCUAUACGUUGCCUCGGCGGAUCAGCCCGCGCCCUGUAAAAAGGGACGGCCCGCCCGAGGACCCUAAACUCUGUUUUUAGUGGAACUUCUGAGUAAAACAAACAAAUAAAUCAAAACUUUCAACAACGGAUCUCUUGGUUCUGGCAUCGAUGAAGAACGCAGCAAAAUGCGAUAAGUAAUGUGAAUUGCAGAAUUCAGUGAAUCAUCGAAUCUUUGAACGCACAUUGCGCCCGCCAGUAUUCUGGCGGGCAUGCCUGUUCGAGCGUCAUUUCAACCCUCAAGCUCAGCUUGGUGUUGGGACUCGCGGUAACCCGCGUUCCCCAAAUCGAUUGGCGGUCACGUCGAGCUUCCAUAGCGUAGUAAUCAUACACCUCGUUACUGGUAAUCGUCGCGGCCACGCCGUAAAACCCCAACUUCUGAAUGUUGACCUCGGAUCAGGUAGGAAUACCCGCUGAACUUAAGCAUAUCAAUAAGCGGAG